AACCAUCGGCAUCGUUACUUCCCAAGAAAAAAUCAAGGAUGAGCACGACGCAUCGUUCUCUUCUCCUCUGGACCUGAGUCGCAUGGUUGACUCGCGUCCGCCCAGCCCUCUCCAAAUUCUCCAAUCAGGACAGCAUCAUCGCCUCAAAUCUUGCCUUUCCAAUUCCAAGAUCGCUGAUUAUCCGCAUCCAUUGAUGGGCAGGGAAACGGUGCUAUUUGGUUCCCCAAUCACCUCUCUUUCUUUCCAUCCCCAAGAACUGGUCCACAUCAACGAUGAGAUGGCUCGCUCUUGAGAUCUUCAAGGGUCAAUUGGAUCUGAGCGUGAGGAGACAAAGCAGUGAGAAAAUUUGGAGAAGAAGAGAGGACGGGGAAUCAGCAAGGCGAUCUUCCCCUUUUGUCUUCAUGUUGAGUAUUGCAAGCUGCAGAUCAAGAAACUUCAUCGGCAGUUCGACAUAUCCAGAUUAAUUGAUGAAAUGAUGGUCACCUUCUGGCAUUUAGAAGAUCGAUCUUUUGUAUAGCUACAAUGUAUUCCUUCUAUCAUUAUGUGGUUCUGUGGAAUGUUGCGAAUAUAUGUCUUGUGGGAGUUUUGUAAUUUAAAAGACCAUCGAUAUAAGUUAUGUAUACUCAGUUGCUCUUGAAAUGUAAUGCAUUCUGGAAAAAAAAUUAUCAACAAGGGCCCUUUUUAUUGUCU